CAGCUUCUCCUGUCAAUAGGGAAAGACAGACAGCUCCAGCAGUGACCCAAACCAAGAUGGACUAAACACUGUGGAGGCCUCCUGUAAGUACUGGAAGGACAUGAUAAGGUCUUUGCAGAGACUUUAUUAGAUGCAACCUCUCAAGAAACAUCUUUCUAUCAAAAUUGAAACAGAUUGUGGUGUUCGGCAGCACAUUUCUCUGCUAGGGAAACAUUCUUGGUACAGUAUUCUUGCUCUUAGUCAGAUUUUUUUUUUCCAAGGAUUUUCUGAUUAAACAUGGUGAUGAUGGAUAAUAGCAGUCAUACUACGUUUCUACUAACACACACAAGUCUUGCCAGAGGUGAAGUAGAUGCAAUUUGCUUUUAUUUAAAAGCUUUUGCUCAAUAAUACUUUCAUGGUCUGAUCUGGCACUUGUAAUCAAGCAACAUUCCCAGUUCCAUCAGCCCUUAAGAUCCAGAUUUUAUAUGAAAAAAAAGGGGCAGAUCUUUGGCUUGAUGGUUCUCUAGGAUCUCUGCCACAGUUUGGAAAGCAACAUAUUCAUCUACCUGGUGGUUUUGGUAUGUAUAGGAAAGGGAAUAAAUCUUCACAUGACUUGCUGCUGGACACUAAAAAUAUAAUGGAAUGUACUAAAAAAAAAAAUCACAAAAUCCUAAUCCUGAUUGCUUCUUCGAAGGUAAAAGUAAUGAUUUUUAUUUGUGGAUAGUAAAAUACACAGCAAAGGUAUACUAUACUAACUUUAAUGGUAAAAACAACUUAAAAAUUCAAUUUUGAAAAGGAAAACUUGAUAAAACUGUGUAAAAGAUGUAAAACACGCAUAUCAAAUUAUAUUUAUACAAUAUGAUAUGAACAAAACAAAAUAGGUCCUUGAAAUUAAAGCUACUAAUUAAGUUACUUUUCAGUUUACAUUUCUAGUACAGAAAAAGGAGAAGGUAUUGUGUUCUUCAUACAUCUGGAUUUUAAUUCUGUAAUAUAUGUAAGAGUGAAUCUGGAUGCUGUCAUAUGUGCCAACAUAGGUAACCAUAAUUUCUAACCCAUUCAGCAAAAUAAGUAAGAUUUUCAUGUUGAAAUAAUUAUCAUAUUUUAGAGGGAUAAAAGCUAACAGAAUUUUAAGCAUAACUUAAAAAGUGGAUGCUUCCUCUGUACAUGGAAGGAUUUGAACUAAAAUCACAAUACUGGUGAAUAACUCCAGACUUUUGAUGGUAUUAACUGAGAAUGUAACAUAGUUUAUUGUACCUUAAAUCCCCUGUAUACAUCUCAA